rnacentral:lncRNA from 1 species
GGGUCAUAUACUUCCCCAAAGAAAUCACAUCCCAUUUCCUAAAAUCAAGCCCAUACAUUUUUUUCAAGGAGAAAUCCUGGUAAAUUGGCUUAUAGGUAAGGAUAUAACCUGAGGCAUCACUCUGGAGCUGAAUGAGUCCAAGUGAUGGACCAAACUGCUGAACCAGUCUAAGCUUGGGGGAGAGGUCAGGGGAGCGGAGGGGAGGAGUGCCCUACAUUCCUUUUCUCAGCCACACACAGCAGCAGUGGUAUGUCUACAGCUUUGGAACACAGCAGGAUUUUGGAAGAAAGAGCGAUGUCAUCUUUCAAGGCAUGGGAUCAUCAAUCAUAUUCCAGAGAUGGGAAGAUGUCCCGACACUUGUGUCUGGUUUCGCAGUUUCUCCAGUGGACCAGGAAGUUCUCUCUCAUCUCCUGGGCUCAACAGAAAUACUUUAUUCUCACUGGGUAUUUUACUUUUAGUUUUUGAUCUCCAACAUCUGGUCCAGGAGUUAGGAGACCUAACUAGUCUAGAUUCUGCUGAGUUCUAGAUUCUGCUACACAGUCACUCAUUUAAUCACUGAUCGACUAAGUGUGACUCCCUUUGCUCUGAGCCUCUGCUUCCUGAUAUAAAAAGAGAGGUGGUCUGGGUAAUUAAGGUCUCUUCUUGCUCUGAGCAUCUAAGAAUCUAUGAAAUUAUACCUCCCUGUGUCUAUGAUAAUAAAGCAGAACACUAGUCACAGUUUCCUGCAGGGAUGCCAGAGUUGAGGCUGUUCAAAGCUGGGAACCAAUCCCCCUGAGGAGGGUUUCAGCAAACUUAAACUCUUUCUUGGAAGUUCUCCACUCAUUGCUAGCAUUUGUCUGACAGACAUCAUGGCACGGUUGAAUUUCCUCGUUGAAACCACUCAUUUCUUUAUAUUUAAUUAUUCCUUCUACUUGGCUUUACCUCCUACACAUCAUCCUUCGAGACAACGGGGCAGUAUCUGGUACAGUGUGUCCCAUGGAACUGCCACAGCCCAACCACUGGGACCCAACAGUCUUGCUCUCCUCAUUCCGACAUUCCUGCUCUUCCUUAUUUUGAUGGAAAAAACUCUGAAUUUCUACUUCAUCAAUGCCAGCCAUGUUGAUGAUGUCGUCUGUGGGCAGGCAACUUGA